rnacentral:rRNA from 1 species
UACGAAGGGGGCUAGCGUUGUUCGGAAUCACUGGGCGUAAAGCGCACGCAGGCGGCUUGAUAAGUCUGGGGUGAAAUCCCGGAGCUCAACUUCGGAAUUGCCUUUGAUACUGUCUGUCUUGAGUCCGGGAGAGGUGAGUGGAAUUCCUAGUGUAGAGGUGAAAUUCGUAGAUAUUAGGAAGAACACCAGUGGCGAAGGCGGCUCACUGGCCCGGUACUGACGCUCAUGUGCGAAAGCGUGGGGAGCAAACAGG